AGUUUGCCAAGCAGAAGAAAAUGUCUCCAUGCGGCCGCUGUAGAGCGCAGACCGUUUCCCAGGUCUCUCCUCCCCUGUUGUUAGUGGCUGAAGAAGCCUAAAAAGCUACAGAAAAGCCAAGAAAUGCACCCUAAGUACUGCAUUAAAAUGAAACAUUCCAAGAGACAGUAUGUCUGGGCAAAAAGUAGGCCCAGAGAGCGGCACAUGGCUUGAAGCACUGCAACAUCCCUUCGGACUUAAGACCUGGAACUGCCCUUGAUGAGCCAGUCGUUGAGGUACAGGUAGAACUGGAUACCCUGAGGUUCUUAUGAAAACUCAGACUCUGGAAUCUGUCAAACCUACAUUGACUUUUAUAAACAACUGACAUUUUUGAAAACUAUCUUUAAAGUGAUGGAGACAAGGUGGGUCAGACUAGACAUACAAUGUUGCCAAGAAACAUUACCUUAUCAACAUGAACUAAUGACUUCGGACAGCAGCAGCUGUAGUUAAUAAGACAAGCGUUCACCGUUCUGACUUUUCAAUCUUGCAGAUUGUCAUUAGCGGAAUUAAGCUCUGCAUCUGUAAUAUACUGGGGGAGAAGUGGCAUCAGUAGAGUUAUGCUUUCACAUUCCUACUGAUUUGGACAUUUUGUACAAAAUGCAACUACUUUUAAAUGCCCCCUUCGCUAGCUUCCCCCCCACAAGCCUAAGAGUUCACUGUGCUCUUCAACGGUGCUAACUGCCCAAUGCAUGCUUUCAGACUGGGAUGGCCUGCUGCCUCUGAUAUUCCAGAGUGGGAAUCUACUCUACUCAUGGCAACUGUUCUAGGUAUGGAACUACUUCCACUGUGAAGGGGGUCAACUAGAGGCAUCUUCACCUACACUGAAAGAAAACUAGAGAUUAAUCAUAUUGUGAAACCUGUAUUAAGAAGCUACCAAAGGGAUCUGACAAAAAUGGGCUCCUUAAUGGAGAUGGUCUUCUAAUAAAGAUGGAGCACAACUGUAUUCAGUAAAUUUGUGCAUACUUUGGACAGGUCUCAAAACCGCAGGAUGCCUAAAAAAUGUAGUCUUAUCCUUCUCCACCUUGUCUCUCAAACAGAAAACUGGAGGGAGUCUGAGGAAGAGCAAGGCAAAUACCUUAGUUGCUUCAGCUAGAGUACCCUCCAAGUUAUUUGUGACAAAAAAUUUUUCUCACAAAGAAAGGAGAGAAUGUAAAUAAUAAACAGCUGUUUCUGGUAGAAAUGUAUGGUACAUUCUAGAUAAUGAUGCAGAAUUUAAUUGUAGAUGUACUUACUGACAAAGUAAAACACUUUAGGGCCAUUAUUUUUUACACUAUAUUUUAGGCAAUACGGAUCUGACCCUUAUAACAAAGCAACACCAUUUUAAGCGCCUGUUCCAAACGAAUUAACUCUAAGUUUGCCAUGAAAAAUUAUCCGAUCCAUCAUUAACUGAAUAAAAUUCUGCCACUCCACUUCCCCCCCCCCCCCCCCCCCAAGGUAGCUUUCCCCUGCUUUCUGAUACAAAAUGUUUCUAUUUUAAUAACAAUUCUCCCAAACAACUGAAAUGUUUCUAUGUAACUACUGAGCAUGACAUGCCUUUGGAUCACUGCUACCAGGUGGAGUACGGAAGGGCAGCCAGGCCAAACUUGAGUGAAUGGCAAUGCAAUCUAGUGCAUGUGGUUGUAAUGCCAUUAAAGGUUCCAACCCCUCAGGAGAGCUCAAAGCACUGAGCCUACAGGUUAAGGGUGUAUGGCUUCCAUGGGGGUAGGUCCGGAGCCCUUUCCUCAACCCCCCUCCUCCCAGAAUCCCUGUCCAGAGCACUAGCCAUGAUAGGUAUUUCCCUCCACAGCCUAUAGCCUUAAUGCUGCUACUUCCCAGAGGCUGAAGUGGAGCAGGGAGUGGCUGGAGUUACUAUUAAGAGCCCGUUAUUGUACAAGAAGCUACGUCCACCCUUCCCCCCACAAUUCCAGGGAUUACCAAUGUGGGCACCUCUGCAGCUCUCCAAGCCCAGAGGCCCAGUGCAUUGCCAGACCUAAGGUUGAGAAAGGGGAGGCACUGUGCUGAACCCUGGUGUUGCCACCACAUGAUGUAGGUAACUGGAGGAGUAGACCCAGGAACCUGAAGUCUGUGCCCUUAAGAUGCCUGGCUAAGUAACCUACAGGUGCAAUCAGAUCAUUACUAAGUGCAUGCUACUACAGGUGUAAAUAACAGCACCCACAGAACUGGAGGCCAUUUUUAUAACUUUAGGCCUGAGUGUCUUGUGGAUGGUGUUAAGUACUCUAUCUUUGGAUUUAGCUCAGGGAAGUAACUGCAAACAGACAAUGGAACCUAUUUUCUGGGGUUGCCACCUGGUAUUGUAAGUAGUUGGGGGCCAGAGACCUGAGGCUUAUACCCUUCCUCUCCUUCAGGCAUUUGGAACAUCCAGUUUUGCAGUUCUUCUAGUGCUUAAUCAUUAGAAAUAGCUGCCUUGUACAGUACAUAAAAUGGAUCAGUUUUUGUGGCAUGAAAAGAGAUGGUGAUUGUACUAGUGCUUCAUCUUCGAAUAAACAAAAAGUUUGGAAAUAUGAAGAAAGUUACUUGGAAAUGGGAUUUACAUUUAUUGGCACUGCAAAUGAACCUCAUCCACAAAGCAUUGUCUGUGGUGAUGUACUGGCUAAUGGCAGCUUGAAGCCUUGCAAAUUGAGAUGAGACAUCAUGGACUAGAGGGUAGCCACCUGACUUUUUCAAAGGAAGACUCAAAGCAUUAAAGCAGCCAAAAAGCACUAUAAGAAGCAAGCAUGCUACACUGCCUGCAAAGCAUCUUAAACCAUCUUAUGCUGUGUCAUACGAAGCCUCACACCACAGACAGACACACUGAUUUUGCCAGUUGCAAAGAUUUGUUCCAUUAUGUCUGGGGAAAGCUCAGCUCUGCAGGAUGGUGCCAUUCCACUUUCAAACAACACAGUGAGUUGCAGAAUUUCAGAACUCAGUGGUGUGAACCAUCAAGUGCUGAAAUAUAUUCAGAUAAGUUGGAUUGCAUUGUAUUGACUCAAGACAACAGAUAUUGCUAGAGCUGUACAACUGCUUGUCUAUGUCAGUUUUGUGCACUGAGUCACUUCUGAAGAAUUUUUUUGUCAACCCCUUUCAACAUACACCGAGCAACAAAUCUGAAAUGCUAGAUCAGUGGUUUUCAACCAGGGGUACAUGUACCCCUGGGGGUACGCAGAGGUCUUCCAGGGGGUACAUCAACUCAUCUUGGUAUUUGCCUAGUUUUACAACAGGCUACAUAAAAAGCACUAGCCAAGUCAGUUCAAUCUAACAUUUCAUACCAUCAUUUGUAUGUAUUGCUCUCUAUACUAUACGCAAAUGUAAAUACAAUAUUUAUAUUCCAAUUGAUUUAUUUUAUAAUCAUAUGGUAAAAAUGAGAAGGCAAUUUUUCAGUAAAAAUGUGCUGUGACACUUUUGUAUUUUUAUGUCUGAUUUUGUAAGCAAGUAAUUUUUAAAUGAGGUGUAACUUGGGUGUCUGCAAGACAAUUCAGACUCUUGAAAGGAGUACAGUAGUCUGGAAAGGUUGAGAGCCACUGUGCUAGAUAAUAUUAUUUGAUGACUUGGGAUUUGCAGUGCUUGAUCCAUGAUGGGAAAAGCUUAGUAGUUUUAUCACUCACAUUCAUUCAGUAAGUAGCCACCAGUGCCAAAUGGACACACUGCAUUACAAACAGAGAAGCUUCGGCUGCUAAGAAAAUGCCUUAGCCUUGAAGUCAGUUAUGCAGUAAGCCGUGUAGGAUAAUCAAUUUUAUAAAAGCACGGCCACUUAAUGCACAUUUAUUUUCAGUUCUGUCAGGAAAUAGGAUCUAAUCAUUGUGAUGUUGGCAGACUAGAUGCCAACUCAUGCCAAAGGCACAGUGCCCCAGUGUACACUGACAAAUGCAUAGGUGGAAAUCAGUCUGGCUUACCUGUGGAUUAGUAUAGUUAAAAUAGCUAUUAGUGUUAUAUGAAUGUAAUUCGUGUUUAGACUUUACGGAAUGUUUGUAGGAUGUUUAAUGUAUUAAUCCUACUUAUAAUAUCUGUAUCCCAUGAUAUAAAGUUAUACUGAGUAUUUGCAUUGUAAACCUCUAAUUGUGUAACUCACCAAACAGGAAAAGCAGCAUUAAUUAAGGUAAAGUGCUUGUCCUGGACACAAGACGGUCCACUGAAGGCAAAUGAGGCACUGUGUAGCAUCAAAGGACAAAGACUUGUUGAUUGCAUUCCUUACUCCCUCCAUGAAGGGGAGACCUACACAUGAACUUAUCCCAUCAGCUUGGAUUGUGGAGUGAAGCGGAUAAAAAUCUCUGACAAGGAGAAACUGGAUUUUUGUGGUGUCUGGACUUUGAGGUGAAAAGACUCCUAAACAUAAACAAAAGAUCCCCACAGAGUUUAGCAUGGGUCAGCCCUAAAGGACAUAUAGAUAUGCUUACUAUAGGAGUUUAUAUUACCUUUUUAAAUCUAAGACUGUAACUAAUUUGUGUGUGCAUGUGUUUCCUGUUUUAACCUUGUAAAUAACUAAAUUUCUUUCCUUAGUUUAUAAAUCUUUAGUUAAUUUAUUACAGGAUUGGCUACAGGUGUGGUAUUUGGUUUGAGAUCUGAGUACAAAUGACCUGGGAUAAGUGACUGGUCCUUUGGGACUGGGAGUAACCUGAAUAUUGUUGCACUUUUUGGUGUAAAGUGACCACCUAUCACAGAGCCCAGCUUGCAUGGGUGGCCAGAUAGACUGGAAUGCCCAAGGAACUGUCUGUGACUCCAUAGUAAGACUGUUAUAUUGAGCAAAUUGAGUUCAUCUUGUUAUUGGGUUGGUGAAAUCUAAUUAUAGAGCAUAUAACCAGUUUCGGGUUUCUGCCCUGCUUUUUGAGUCUGCCCCAAGGUUGGCACUCAUGGUUGUGAGCCACUCCAGACAGCAUGACAAUAAUCACCACUUACUACUCCAAACCAAAGGUAGUUAUCAAGAGAAAGAGUACUUCGCCUUUUUGAGUUAUGUGAAGAGGUUAAAAUCAUCUUAACUGAUGCAAAGUCUGAUCUAGUUACCCACCUUCGUGACUACCUUUGGCUGGCACUGUUUGCUUACUUGGUUAAAGUUUUCAACCAUCUGAAUUCACUAAAUGCAUCUAUGCAAAUGAAGAAUAAAUCCUCCUAUCAGACAAAUUAACAAAUUCUAUUCAGAAUCAGGACAUGUGGGCCUCUUGAUUUGCAAGUGGAAACUACAACAUUUCCCACAUUUUCAGAUUUCCUCUAGGAUUGUGAGGUGGCAAUUAUGCUUGGCAGAACUUAUUUUUAUUUUUUUUUAUAAUUCAAUGGCUAAUAUCUGUUUAUUUUAAGCUUUUACUUUUAGCUAUUUAAAUGUUCACACUUGUGGAAAAUUAUGGGGAGUCCAAACAGUAUUUAAUGACAGAUGUUGAUAUUCAAGCUUUAUAACCAUUAAAACAUGAGUUGUCAGCAUCAUGUCAAAAUAUACAAAGUAAAUAGCCUUAAACCAAACUCUA